rnacentral:rRNA from 1 species
UACGAAGGGAGCUAGCGUUGUUCGGAAUCACUGGGCGUAAAGCGCACGUAGGCGGAUGUGUCAGUCAGGGGUGAAAUCCCGGAGCUCAACUUCGGAACUGCCUUUGAUACAGCACGUCUUGAGUCCGAUAGAGGUGGGUGGAAUUCCUAGUGUAGAGGUGAAAUUCGUAAGAUAUUAGGAAGAACACCGGUGGCGAAGGCGGCCCACUGGAUCGGUACUGACGCUGAGGUGCGAAAGCGUGGGGAGCAAACAGG